GAAACCUUCCUGGAGCGAACCAUGAUGUUUAUAUUGCAUAAUUUUAUACUACUGGGAUCAACUGAAAAAGAAGAAGUAUAAGCUAGAUCCAAAGCUUCUAUGGGGCUAUGAAGGUUUCGAUGGUAAUUUGUUGGGGUCCACCUGGUCAACAGCCUAGAUCCCGCUUGUAGGUUUAGAAAAGGGGAGCUACCUGUUGCUGGCGCCUGCAUUGAAUUGCAGUCAGUUCUCUUGCCAUUAUAUAAACUCUGGAACAAGAAUUCCAACAGUCCUCAACAACAACCGCUGUUUGUCAGAGUGGGGUAUCCUGAUUUCUUUGGUGAGGCAUUGAAAAAGGUGGGUUCUGUGCCUGAUGGAAGCCUUGGAAUUUCACAAACAUGACAGCUUGGCACAUGCAGCUGCAUGUGAAUGGGUGGGGACAAAUGUGUCCGGAGCUAAUCAAAACACAGAGCUAGCACUUAGAUCAUUUGAUGCACUUUCCAUGAAAUCGGAUGGUCUUCUAUUUCUUGUUUGUUCUUUUUGGCGGGACCCGGAAAACAAGAAGAUCAUAGUGUGUGAUGAGAAAUUGAAAAAGAUAUUUGGAGGGAGAGACCGUAUUGGAUUUCUUUAGAUUUCAUGGCUGCUUAAUCCUCACUUCAUGAAAUGAAAUCCUCUUCUCAAGAAGUCAACUGAAAAUCCAACAAAGAAAGAAAAAGAGAAAAAUUUCCAAGGAGCUGGCUUUUUGUACAUGGGUAAGUUUCUAGUUGAUCUUGAUACUCAUCGAAAAGCAUGCCAAAACGCUAGUCGGGUAACUGCAAUUAGUUGUAGCACUCCUUUCUUGCAUUUGCAGGCAAACA